AUAUUCUGAAAUAAUUUAAUUUAAUUUUUGUAUAACCGCAACUGCUGGCACAAAAUUAGUUAUUAAUCUAUAUAUUACUAAAUCUUAAUUUCUUAAAUUUUUAAUUUUAAUUACUACAUUUAUGUAUCAAUUAUUAUUUAAAUAAUUGAAAUUACAUACUAAAAUUUAUAUGUAAAAUAAAUUUAAAAUAAAUUUUUUAAAACAUAAUUAUUUUAUU
rnacentral:rRNA from 1 species